CGACGGUGAUGGAGAUGGGGACGGGGACGGGAUGGGACGGCAGCGACGGUGAUGGAGACGGGGACGGGGAUGGGACCGGCGCGGCGCCGGUGGGCGACGACGACGGUGAUGGUGACAGCGACGAGGACGGGGCGGCGGUGAUGGGUGAGGGCGACGGGGACGGGGCUGGCGCGGCGCAGAGGGAGGAACUACUAAUUUUUGGAAACUGCUAAGUGUUUGGAGAAGAUGAAUUAUUUGUAGG
rnacentral:lncRNA from 1 species